AUGGCCCCCGGCGCGGCGGUCGCCGCCAAAUCCGAUGACGAGGACGACUACGAGGAGUAUAUCCCCGUCUCCAAGCGCAGGGCCAUGGAGGCCGACCGCCUCCGCCACCAGCGCCUCUCCAAGCCCGCCGCCGCCGCCUCCGCGGGCUCCCUCCCACCGCCUCCGCCCCCGCCGACGGCCAACCCCGCCGCCGCCCCCGAUGACGCUGCCCCCGCCGCCAAGCCCAGCCUCCUCGUCACGUCCACGCAGCUCAAGCGCGCGGCCCCGGAGGUCACCGCCACCGAGCAGAUCAUCCUGCAGGAGAAGGAGAUGAUCGACAACCUCUCCAACAAGAACACGCUCAUGUCCGUGCGGGAGCUCGCCAAAGGCAUCACCUACACCGAGCCGCUCCGCACCGGCUGGAAGCCGCCGCUGCGCCUCCGCCGCAUGCCGCGCAACAAGGCCGACGAGCUCCGCCGCAAGUGGCACAUCCUCGUCGAAGGCGACGAGAUCCCGCCGCCCGCCCGCGACUUCCUUGACCUCCGCUUCCCCGAGCCCAUCCUCCGGAUGCUCCGUGAGAAGGGCAUCGUGCAGCCCACGCCCAUCCAGGUGCAGGGGCUUCCCGUGGUGCUCUCCGGGCGCGACAUGAUCGGCAUCGCCUUCACCGGGUCCGGGAAGACUCUGGUGUUCGUGCUGCCCCUCAUCAUGGUGGCGCUGCAAGAGGAGAUGUUGAUGCCUAUUGUGCCUGGGGAGGGCCCGUUUGGCAUGAUCAUUUGCCCAUCACGGGAGCUGGCCAAGCAGACAUAUGAUGUCAUCGAUAUGUUCCUCACUCCACUCAAGCAGGCUGGAUUCCCAGAAAUACGGCCAUUGCUUUGCAUUGGGGGUAUAGACAUGAGGACACAACUCGAUGUGGUGAAGAAGGGCGUACAUAUUGUGGUCGCCACACCUGGACGGCUCAAGGAUCUUCUCGCCAAGAAGAAGAUGAACCUUGACAAUUGCAGGUAUUUAACUUUAGAUGAAGCUGAUAGGCUUGUUGAUCUUGGAUUUGAGGAUGACAUUCGGGAGGUUUUUGACCAUUUCAAGGCACAAAGGCAAACCCUUCUUUUUUCUGCCACUAUGCCCAAGAAGAUUCAGAACUUUGCAAAGAGCGCCCUUGUGAAGCCAGUAAUCGUCAAUGUUGGAAGAGCCGGGGCAGCGAAUCUUGAUGUCAUCCAAGAAGUUGAGUAUGUCAAGGAAGAUGCCAGAAUUAUAUACCUCCUUGAAUGCCUUCAAAAGACUCCACCUCCUGUUCUUAUAUUUUGUGAAAACAAAGCUGAUGUUGACUACAUCCAUGAGUAUCUUCUUCUAAAGGGUGUGGAAGCUGUUGCAAUCCACGGAGGCAAAGAUCAGGAGGAGAGACAGAAUGCGAUUGAGUUCUUCAAGAAUGGAAAGAAGGAUGUUUUGGUGGCUACUGAUGUUGCCUCAAAGGGUCUUGAUUUCCCUGAUAUCCAGCACGUGAUUAACUAUGACAUGCCUGCCGAAAUAGAGAACUAUGUCCACAGGAUUGGUCGAACCGGUCGAUGUGGGAAAACAGGAAUAGCAACUACGUUCAUCAACAAGAACCAGACAGAGACUACGCUUCUUGACCUCAAGCACCUGCUCAAGGAAGCGAAGCAAAGAAUACCACCAGUGCUUGCUGAGCUCGUUGAUCCGCUAGAGGAUGCUGAAGCUAUUGCCAAGGAGAGUGGUGUCAAAGGAUGUGCAUUCUGUGGUGGUCUUGGGCAUCGUCUUGCUGACUGUCCAAAGCUGGAGCACCAGAAGUCUGUGGCGAUCGCCGGCUCCAGAAGAGAUUACUACGGCGGUGGAGGUUACCGAGGAGAAAUAUGA
rnacentral:rRNA from 1 species